rnacentral:rRNA from 1 species
AAUCAACGCUGGCGGCGUGCCUCAGACAUGCAAGUCGAACGCGAAAUUUCCCUUCGGGGGAGAAAGUAGAGUGGCGCACGGGUGAGUAACACGUAGGUAAUUUGCCUUCGGGUGGGGAAUAACAGCCGGAAACGGCUGCUAAUACCGCAUAAUGCAGCGGCUCGACAUCGAGACAGUUGUUAAAGCGGGGGAUCGCAAGACCUCGCGCCUGAAGAGAAGCCUGCGGCAGAUUAGCUAGUUGGUAAGGUAAUGGCUUACCAAGGCAACGAUCUGUAACCGGCCUGAGAGGGCGGUCGGUCACACUGACACUGACAUACGGGUCAGACUCCUACGGGAGGCAGCAGUCGGG